rnacentral:rRNA from 1 species
GACGAACGCUGGCGGCGUGCUUAACACAUGCAAGUCGAACGAAGAGCGAUGGAAGCUUGCUUCUAUCAAUCUUAGUGGCGAACGGGUGAGUAACGCGUAAUCAACCUGCCCUUCAGAGGGGGACAACAGUUGGAAACGACUGCUAAUACCGCAUACGAUCUAAUCUCGGCAUCGAGGAUAGAUGAAAGGUGGCCUCUACAUGUAAGCUAUCACUGAAGGAGGGGAUUGCGUCGGAUUAGCUAGUUGGCGGGGUAACGGCCCACCAAGGCGAUGAUCAGUAGCCGGUCUGAGAGGAUGGACGGCCGCAUUGGGACUGUGACACGGCCCAGACUCCUACGGGAGGCAGCAGUGGGGAAUCGUCCGCAAUGGACGAGAGUCUGACGGAGCAACGCCGCGGGAGUGAUGACGGCCUUCGGGUUGGAAAGCUCUGUUAAUCGGGACGAAAGGCCUUCUUGCGAAUAGUGAGAAGGAUUGACGGUACCGGAAUAGAAAGCCACGGCUAACUACGUG